rnacentral:rRNA from 1 species
GAUGAACGCUGGCGGCGUGCCUAAUACAUGCAAGUCGAGCGAACGGACGAGAAGCUUGCUUUUCUGAUGUUAGCGGCGGACGGGUGAGUAACACGUGGAUAACCUACCUAUAAGACUGGGAUAACUUCGGGAAACCGGAGCUAAUACCGGAUAAUAUUUUGAACCGCAUGGUUCAAAAGUGAAAGACGGUCUUGCUGUCACUUAUAGAUGGAUCCGCGCUGCAUUAGCUAGUUGGUAAGGUAACGGCUUACCAAGGCAACGAUGCGUAGCCGACCUGAAAGAGUGGUAGGCCACACUGGAACUGAGACACGGACCAGACUCCUACGAGACGCAGCAGUAGGGAAUCUUCCGCAAUGGGGGAAAGCCUGGCGGAACAACGCGGCGUGAGAGAUGGAAGUCUUCGGAUCGUAAGACUCUGUUAUUAGGGAAGAACAUAUGUGUAAGUAACUGUGCACAUCGUGACGGUACCUAAUCAGAAAGCAACGGCUAACUACGUG